CCUGUGGAAUCAUUCAGUGACCCUUGUAGGACAUUAGAGGUCAGCUCCAGGAUGCCUCCACACCUGAAAAUAAACUUUAGCUCAUUUAGAAUAUGUGUGCAAAAUUUCAUGCUUUCAUCACAAAAAUGCACAA